rnacentral:tRNA from 1 species
GGGUAUAUAGCUCAAUCAGUAGAGUGCUUGCCUCCUAUGCACAAGGUCCUGGGUUCAAUCCCCAGCACCA